CACUCUAUUUACGUAUCGCACUAAAUUCUAAUCACACCGUUACUGUUGUUGCCUAUUAUUAUUGUUUUACUGUUUUCUUUCUUUUUUUCUUCUUUUUUUGUGAAAUGGCACGUACGUGCAGAUCUGAAUUUAAGCACCAUAAAUGCUGUGUUUAAAAACAAAAAUGCUUGUAGCAAUUAGUAAAAAGUGCAGGCUUUGCCUUGACUGAAGACGGCUCUUACACAUUUAUGAAGUAAACAGGAGGUCUAUGUUAUGUUAUGCCUCCCGGCUAAAUUUGGGGUACGUAUUCUUCUUUUUGUUAGUAUUUUUGGAGGGUAGCUUCUGGUACAAUAUGUAACACCAUGGGCUGUAAUUUCACAGUCGAGUACACAUUUCCCUUAAAGCUGCUUUUAUUUCCCCGCAAGACCCCAUUUUUUGCCUCCACUUCCCUUUACUAUAUUAGUUACUUCCUCUGUUAAAUGAUGAAAACUAAUUGCAACUGAUCAUAGCGGCCAUUGAAUACUAAAGGCAGGAUACUGAGACUGUGUCUAUGCUACAAUAUAGAAUUAUAUUUUAUGUGGCUCCUCAACGUUUUUAUUAUCUUUUUUUCUAGAUAAUAUAGCGUCCCGUCACAGCCGGGCAAUGGAAAAGGUGUAAUAAAUUGCAAACGUGCCAUUUUAAAUAAACAGGAAACAUGCAAAACAUUUUUAAAGGUCUGGUUUGUUUGAAAACGCUUUUUACAUUUUGUAUUCUUUUCUUUAGACCAACCCAGGAGGUUUUACUUUUAAGAGAACGAUUGGGAGAGAGUGAUCGAACGUGUCAAAGAGAGCGAGGCAGAGAAAGAGAGAGAACGUGCAGUGGUUCCUUUGAUGCGUUCUGGUGUAUGGGGGUAAUGGGCAGCCUAUUGGAGCAUGGCAGACCACUUGAGAGUUGUUUUCUGGACUCUGAGAGGUCACCUGACACCAGUGCUCUGGAGAAGGUGCACCGCACUGGAUUUCAUGUGAGUUAAAAGACCUCUUCAAUAAAACAUCACCAGCUCUCAAUGGUGCACGCUUGAGCUGCUUGUGUAAUUGACUUUUUGACUUUUUUCGGAUUUGCAUGGACUCUCCAGUAGUAGCUCACCUGGCAAGUAUCACUCUGGUCCGAAAUUACAGUAGCGCUGUGUUAUCUUACAAAUAAGAAGCAUUCUCCACUGACCACAGCUACUCAUACAGUACCAUCUUAAUUUAUACUCAUUUCUUUUUUCCAAAAAUAUCUUCUUGUAUGUUCCACAGAUGAAAAUAUCUUAUAGAUUUGGAAUGACAUGAGAAAGUUAUGAAAGAUUUUUCAAGACUGGGUGAACUAUCUCUUUCAUAUAUUUUAAUAGCUGUAAAUGCCUAUUUGAGAUUGGAAAAUAAAAUUCUCUCUCUCUGAAAUAAAGCAGGACUGUUCUGUAGGUGAAAUUGAAUUUUUGUUAACCAUUUUAGCCAUCUUAGGAGUGAGGAGACGAAUCAUUUCUGUUCUGGAUGGAUGAUUCGGAGCCAGAGGUGAAUCAUACAGGGGUUUGUUUGUAUCUGUGCCUUUGAUCCCCCUCUGAUAGUCCCUACACUGCGCAACAUCUGUCACGCCGCAUUCCACAAUCGCUCACGUAGAGCUUUAGGUUAUGCUGGUGUAUGGUUAUUCCUGCUACAUGGCCCACAUGGGCAUCCCCAACGCCAGCGCUCAUUAGCAGGCAGGUGGCGUAAGAGAUUCGACUGGGGCCGAGACUAGGAAUAGAACCUGGCACACCGGGUUGUAUGUUCAGAUCGGGUAAUCCCCGCCAGAUUGCCAGGAUAUCAGAAGUGACAUCACAAAGCCAACAAAAAUUAGCAUCCCUAAUGGUCUGCCAGGCCAAACAUUAUUCUUCAUGAUGAGAAGCAGUCAUGCCUGCCCAGGGCUCCUGAUGAUUUGGCCAAAAGCGGUGGAGGCCCCUAAGCUCUCAGCUCCAGCCAAAACCAACAGGCUCUAUUCUCCAACCCAUGACGACCAGUUCUACUCUACUGCAAUGGAAGUUCCUGAGGAAAAUCUUUGGUAUAUUCCCAGACCUGCCAACCUGUACGCAUUUUGCGUAGCGGCUACGCAUUUUGACCUCAAAGUACGCUGGUACGAUUUGUCACCCUAAACUACGCAAAAAUCUAGUUACGCCUCUGUCCACGCGCAGUAUUCAAAACAAGCAACAGAAAAAGAUGAAGAGUUAAACCAAUCAUAGCGUCUUUUGUUUGUUUUGCAUUUAAAUAAUUCCUGUAGUUUUAUUUCUCUCCUAGAAGCCUAUAGUUUAUGGUUUCCGUACAAAGGGGUUCGCGCGCGCCACGUCAGAUGCUCUGACAGAAAGGCUGUGUGAGGGUGACAGAGACGCGCUGUUUAAUGUGUUUGAGAUGUGCUGUUUUCCUUCAUGCAUAACUUGCAUUUCACAGGUAUAUUCUGCAUCUGUAAAUGUUAAAAACCAAUGGAAAUAUUUCCAUUUUGCUGUCAGAAGUGCAUGAGCUUCAGCUUUAGCGAUUCUCCGCUAAUCUCCACAGACUUCAUUUAGAACGAGCGCCGCAGCGCGCAUGCACGCCAAUCAGACAGAGCUCAAUGAAAUAGGAGCGCAAUAACUCUUGACUAAAAUAUACAUUUUGCUGAAAUAUUUGUAGUUGGACAUUAAAUAUGACGUAGAAUUUUAAACCUAUAAGUAAGUGUAUUUGUAUGAUAGCAACUGUAAAGUGUAAUGGGGUAAUCAAAAUAGCCUUUUUACUCAAUUAGUCUUCUGCUUUAAAUUUUUUGUUGUUGUUGUUUUUAGAUUGCAAUGUUACAGUGUAAUGUGAUUUUAACCCGUUUUUGCACAUAAUAGCUAUAUGCCUACAUGCUUACAUUCACUUUAUUUGUUUAAUCCAAAUACAAAAUACCGAGAUAUAUAGGCUACCGUAUACCGCAGAUCAGCCAAAAAAUACAGAGAUAUGAAUUUUUGCUCAUAUCGCCCAGCCCUAUACAGAAGUGUACUGAAGUUUUAAUUAAAGUGUGCUGUAGUUUUUCUCUUUUUUUUAAUGGCAUAAAAACCACUAAAUAGCAAAAAAUACUAAACAGUUAAGGUAAACAGUAAAAAACAGUAAACUGUAAACACCCACCCCCCCCACCCCCACGCUGAUGGUACUCAAAAAAUUUUUCCAAGGUUGGCAGGUCUGUAUUCCCAUCAAACUGCUGAUGCCUUCAGAUACUAGAAGAUCCUUGGAAAUUACUUGGGUUUUGUGACCUAAAUGGAAAGGAAGAGACUCUCACCUGGCAGUUUAUAACCAUUGAAAAACACCUUGACUAGAUUUAGAAGCUAAAACCAAGAAAGAUCAAUAAGAGGAGAGGGGGGAGAGUGGCAGAUUUAAUUAAUUACUGCAUAUUAGAAUGUUUGUUUACAAAAGUGAACAGUUACAAGGGGCCUGAUGGUAAUUAAUUUAAAGCGUACUUCCCCCUGUCCCUGCCUCGUGUCGGCACUAGACGUAGUUGUUUCAUGGCAGGUAAGCCUACGUCUCAUUGGAUUUCCAUCAAUUGCUCAAAGGUGUGUUUGAAAACAAAGAUGCAUGGUACGCAAAUUAGCCUGAAUGUUAACAUGAUUGCAUAUUAAGAAAUCUAAUUAGUAUUCAAGGGAAUCAAAAUGGGAAGGUACUCAUGCUAUUCAUAACAGGGUUAUUUUCAUCAACUAAAAUUAAAACUAAAAUAAUAAUAAAAGUUAAAAUAAUUAAAAUGUACAAAAUAAAAUUAAUAUUACAAAAUUACUAGAAAAUACUAAAACUUUAACUAAAAUAAAAAAAUGAAAACAAAAACUCUAAAAAUAAAAGCUAAUUCAAAAUAUUGAUAAAAAACUAUAAUAGUUUACUAAAAUAACACUGAUUCACAAUGACUUUUAGCUUCAUUAUUUUUGCUAUUUUAAUAAAAAUACAUGAAUGUACAUUUGCAUUAUUUCUGUCAGUCAUUAUUCUUGCUAUUUUGCUAAAAAUGUAUGUAGAUGUUUUUUAGCAUUAUUUCUGUCAGUCUGAUAUAAAAUAUCAAUACAUUUAGUUGCUUAGUUUAAAGUUGAAAUAGAACAGUGUUUUAAUGGACAUUUUUACACUUAAAAUUGUUUUUUUACUCCAUAUAAAUCAAAUUUUGCUUUAUUAUAAU
rnacentral:lncRNA from 1 species